rnacentral:lncRNA from 1 species
CUUUACUUAGGUACUCUAUUUUAAUAUAAAAACACAAUUGAGAGAUUUUAAACUUUUUAAAAUUUUGGAGACUUGCUAAAUGAAAAAGGUUAAAAAUCGCCACAAUAGCUAUAAAAAUGUCUAGCCUUGUCUUUUUUUUUUUUUUUUUUUUUUUUUUUUGAGAUCUGGAGUGAUUUUACCUUUUACCUUUAUUUCCUUCACAUUGAGCCAAUCAUUAAAUUUCAUUGUGAUUUCUGGGGUGGGGCAGAAGGAAGGGUCAUUCAGUGUGAUGGAAGCCGUGGCCUGGUUGGCCUCACUAGGGGAGCUGGAGGAGCACGGACUGCCCUGCUGGCAGGUGGGUGAUGUUCUGAGAGUGGAACAGCUGGUAAGCAAUGUUCUCAGCAGCCUCCAGCUUACGCAGCUCCAUCAGGCUAUCACCAGCUGUGGCCAGCGAGUUGGCAAGCAGCUCAGCUGCCUUAGAGUUACCCUCACCAGAGAUGAUGGCUGCCGCCUUCUGCUCAGCCUUUUCCACCACAAAUCUGGCUCUCUACUUCUGCUGAGCCACCUGGUUGGCUUCCACCGCCUCUGUGAACUCCUUCCUGAAGGUCAGAUGUGUCAGGGACGCGUCAUCCAGGAUGAGCCCAAAGGUUUGCGGCUUGCUCUGUGAGGUCAUCGCUCGCCUGCCUGGAGACCACCGCUCGCUGGGUAAUCAAUUCUCCAGCAUCAAAUCGAGCCACCACCGACUUGAGGAUCUCUGUGGUGAUAGACGGCAGUGCCCGCUCAUUUUAGUCCUCGCCAAUGCUGGUGUAGAUAUGAGGAAGCUGGCUGGCCACCGGCCGGAAGAGGAUGUGAAGUACGAUGUUGACGUUCUGCAAGUCUUUGCCACCAGUGAUGACUGGUACAUUCCCUGGUCGAGAGCUGCAGUCAAAGAUAAUUGGCUUCUGUACCCAAGGGUUGAGAACGAUGGACAGAGACUCCCAAAUCCUCAGUGACUCCCCAAAGUCUCCAAGAAGAGAAGGGCACAGUCACGAAGGUCAUCACCUGAACUGUGGUAUGAUAACCACUGAGCUUAACUGUCCUGCUGUCCUUGGCCUGGCCUGGGCUGUGGACACAGGACACUGGAGAAUUGAUUGCCACACGGUGCAUGGACAAGGUGAGGUCAGUCUUCCCACAGGAAAAGCCCCUUCAUCUUCAGGGUCCGAGGCCAAAGACUGCCUCUGCCUCGGUGCCAUGGAGACACAGGAGCCUGGGGCAACUGUCAAGAUUUUCUCCUGGCUGACAGACGCCACCAUCCAGGGAUCUUCUGUGGACUGCACACUGCCGAGCUCUGGACUUACUGAGAGCCACUGUCACCAGUCCUGCUGAUGUGACUGCGCUGUCAUCCAGCUGGAUCAGCCAAUCAGCUGCUUCUGAUGGAUGUCUCACUGCAGGCUUUUUUUUUUUUUUUUUUUUCUUUUCUUUUCUUUUUUU